AGGGGAAAGGCGGGACGGGGGCUCCGGCCCCCCGGUACCACCGGCCCACCCCCCCCCCCCCGCCGGCCCCGCCGCCCCCCGGGGCCGCUGCCGCCACUCCCCCCGGACCCGCCGAUCCUGCCGAUCCCCCCCGGCACAGGGGACCUUCCCUGCGCCUCCGGGAGCCUGCCGAGACCGUGAGCUGGGCCCUCCGGAGCUUGCCUCAGAGUGCGCUGGGCAUGAUAAGUAUCAGGAUUCAGCCUCAGCCCCAUCCUCUAAAUACAUAAAACAUCUGUGUCACAAGAUUUCCGCCUUUUUUUUUUUUUUUUUUCGCUCAUAAACCAUGGAUUACACUUGUAACUCUUAUGAGAUACGAGCUAAAAAGCUUUACCAGCACAGCUGUGAAGCAUGCAGUCAGUCAUAGCUUUCAUUGAGCCCAUUAAGACUGCAAAAAAUCCCGGUAGAGGGAUCAGUACACUCAAAAGACUGUAUGUGGGGAAAUCCUAUAGGUUACCCUGUUCUUCAAACUGCCACCUACAGAGAAGGUUUGGUGACAGGGCUGUAGCUGAAGGUCAGACACUUUUAUGUAUAAGCAAUAGCUCAGUGGCUCCGUCUGAUGAUGGUUGGGAUUAAAUAUGUUUAUUGUCACAUAUAUUGGUAGCUAUAGGUGCAUCACACUGCUUACAAAAGCCCCUUUCUACAGAAAAGCUAAUUUUUUUUUUUUUUUUGCUAGGCUAAUGCUUUGUUCUUAUUUUAAAGAAAAAAUCUUUGACAGUCAAACUAGUGGAAGGUUGUAGAAGACAUCUUGUUACCUCUGGAAAUGUAUCAAAGUAAUUUCAGGCCACUGUGACCCCAUCAGUAGAUGUUCUUUAUGCUUAACCUAGAGAGAAGUGCACUUUCAUUUUUUUAAUAAAAAGAGUGAAAUAUUUUAAAUCUAAUGGCAGUCUGGCAACAAAGUGAACAUCUGCAGAACACACAGUCGUUCUGUUUGUGAUGAAAGGCCUCAAUAAUUCCUUUGUGGCUUCACUUGCUGUGAAUUAUGAGGCCUUGUCUUUACAUAUACGAUGGCUUCCAUGUUUCACAAAUUCAUCUGGCUCUGAAAAUUGCUCUUUAUAUACUCCAUAUAAGGUCUUACAUUUUUCACAGCUCUCCUCUGGCAGGACUUGGAUAGCGUCAGAUGGGAGAAACAUGAUGGAGGCGUUGCUGUAGUAAAUAUUUCUUAUGAAACAUGAAUCAGCUACUUUAAGUCUGUAUACUGUGAUGCUGUGUCAUUCCAUUUUGCCCCAAAAGUUCAGAAAUCUUUUGAAGAUUCACCUUUAUCUUGAGAACUAAGGAACUCCACGUGGCAGUCACACUUCCUAAGUGCUGGUGUUAAGGAUUAUAUUAAAAGAAAAAGCCUGUUAAGCUUGAACAUGGUUGUUUAUUGCAAUUACAUCUGUGACUCCACUAGAAGACUUUUGUAAAGGUUUCCUAAGUUAUUCAGCAAGGUAUUUUAUAGGAUUAGUUUCAUAAUAGAGCUUAAGCUGUGCCCAGACCUAGGCCUUAGCCUCCCUUCACCUCUGGCGGAAUUACCCCAAAUUUGAGCACUCUGUGCAGAGCUGAAGGACACCAGGACAAACUCCCACUGCCUUUCCUGAGCGUGGCACCGUGCUGUCUGCUAAAUACUGACACAAACUAGACAGCCACGAAAUCAUGCAGGGUUGCCACAGAUCCACACUAUUUUUCAAAAGGUAUUAGCACUGAGAGUGCCCUAUCCACAUCUGUAGAUAUUUUACUCUCUUCUCCUCAGGUAGUUCCCUCAUGACUCAUCUACACUUUUUUUUCAUAUUUGCUAUACAGCAAUGUAUAACUUUGCAAUUUUCCAGUCAAAUAUGUUAGUGCUAGAACAAAAUUGGAAGCCUAGCUCUUAGUCUAAAUAGCAUUUUUAAAGCAAUUUUAUUCUGCAAAGUUCUUUAUAAUCUUCCUGGAUGCUUUUUUACAUUGCUACUUGAAUUAAUUAUUACUGCAGAUCAAUAUCUCGUAACUGUACAUAAGAAUUAUGGCAGAAAUGAUAUAUACCCCUACAGUCAUAUACAUGCUUACUACACGUACUUUGCUUUCUCUUACAGCGUAAAGUAUCCUCGUAUGCCUGCACACAUACAGGCCCAUCACCCAAGGAGCCAAGGUUCAUAUUCUCAAAGUGUAUAUUGACUUAAAGAUUUAUUUACUUGGCUAGUGGGAUUUACAGAGCUCCAGAGUUGGCUAGAUACUGAGCUUCUGUUGAAAGUCGCUAGAUUUCUGACCCAAGUUCUGCAGUGUGACAUUUAGCCCCACUUAGCUUAUGUUGCCUUAAGUCCACUGCAGUUAAUAGACACUCAGGACUACAGAGGUUCUUUUGUAUGAAACAACAAGCAUGUGUAAGGAAGUCUUAUCCAGGUGGGUAGCGCUCAGAAGUCACGUAACUGCUUGGUUGCUUAAUAAUGCGUUUCAUUAAAUAUGCUUUAUGCUGCCAGUUCGAGUGGCCAGCUGAGGAGUCACUUCACCAAGAGCUGGAAGGUGCUGGGCAAUAGUGGCAAACAGCGUGGUGUAAUGAGACAGGAUGCAAUCUCUUGGUGUUUGGACCUUCAGUCAAUAACAGACUGGAAUAAACUCCAAGGGCAGGAGUCCAGUUGCUCCAGGGGAAUUUUCAGAUGGUUCUUGAGUAGGAAUCAUCAAGAUGCAAAGAGGUGAUGUCAAGGAGAUGAGGCUGCUUGGGUGGGAAGCUACAGGACAAGAAUUUGAAGACACGGCAGAAAUGGACUGUCCACACCAGCAGGCUGGGAUCACGCGGGGACCUCCGCGCGGGAAGGACUGCGGCCUGCGCUGGGCUCUCCCCUGUCCACAUUAGCAAAACCUAUUUCGUUCCUGAGGAAUACGAUUCUUGGUGAAAUGCCCUACAGCAGGAAAGGUUGGAAUAACAACUUACAGAGCUGUAACUCACUCCUGGAAUCAGAGACAGGAGGAAACACAACCUGCACAUUCUUGCACCAUCUGCUGGUAGCAUCUCCAGACGUACCUAGAACAGAUUUUCUAAUUCCUCUCAAACCUGGAGGCAUACGUCCACAGUUAGAGAGAUGAGACCACUGUUACAACGAUUCAAGAUUCAGCUAGUUUUGGGGUCUGUAAAUGGAUGUCUGAAUUCCAGCUAUGGCCGCAGCAGUGCUGACUGCUCUAUAAGCACUAUCAUUACUUGUUUGUGCUUGCAAAGACGUGGCAAUUUCUUGUAGGCAACGCAACUGUAGCAAAUUGAUUUGGCAAGCAACCUCACAUGGUUUGAUGUGAACAUUGCAAGAGUGAGCCAUGUGUCAUAAGAAAAUGAAGCAUUUUCCGUACUUAUUUGAGGAUCACUGCAUGUGCACAGCCCAGGACAGGACGGGGCUGGCAGCUUUUGAAUGAGCACGAGGUUGGUUCCUGGAGGCUGUAUCUUCUCCUCCCGGACACAGCGGUCACAUCUACCCUCCACAUUUUUUCCUGCCUGCAUCCAGAUGGCUGGGGUGCAUAGGGAAGCACAGACACUUGGUUUGGUGUGUAAAAGGGGGUGUGCAGUUAGGGAAUCCUCUCAGGUGUUUUUAACGAGUGUGAGAAUCAUAGCAUGCUCCAUAAAAUCUUCCCAAACUGAGCUACUUCGUUAGGUUCAUGCUAUUCCUGUAGCACCCGGAUACUUGCAGAAGCAUUUUGCCCCGUUCAUGCUACCGACCAAAAAGUGACCGUGGAAGGCCGGAGCCAUGCCAGCCACGUGCGGGUGGAUGGGGCAGGAUUUGAGCAUUCACAGACCAUACAAGGCAGCUCCUGUGAGCACAGCAAAGGGGGAGCAGUUUGCAGAGAGUCUACAAAAAUGGAUGUUGGCACAAGCGGAAUAUCUUAUAGAACAAUAGCAAUUUGGUACUGCAUUUCCAAAAGGACUCGAUCACAUCAGCCCCCAGCCCCAUCACUGCAGGCUCUGAACACGACAUCGACUCUGUUUUCCUCCCAGCACGAGGCAGGAGCCUCACCCCGCUCCUGUCUGUCUGUGCUGGGGAGCUCAGGCAGAAACCCUGCUGCUGAGCAGGUGAGGGCAGCGUCUCUGGGCAGAAUUUGUCCCACCACCAAGGGAAACCUGCUUCCCCGGGGAGCACCUUCAGCACCCAAACCACGAUCCACCCUCAGAGCGGUUGCAGCCAAUUAGGAAGGUCCGGUCUCUUUCUUAAAAAACACACAUAGGUAAAGCUAAAUCAGGUGGCAAAAGACUGUGGGGAACCAUGUUUUUCUUGUUAUUUUACCUUCUUCUAUUGAUCUUUGAAAAUUAGACAGCUUUAAAUCCAAACUGGUGGCAUCCCUUGGGUGGGAUCUGACUCGCGGCGUUUUGGGCAACAGGGCUGACCUCUCGCCGUGGAAUUUCACCUAGUAAUUUCUGCGGCAGGAAGAAAUCCUCCGAGCGGGCUGUCUGGCUUCAGAAGUAAAUUUAAGUGCCUGUGGCUUGACAAAUAAACAUUCUGAAAGCGCCUAAUGACUCACAACCUCGCCUAAGAAUAGCUGAACUUUGCAAGACCGAAAUACAUAGCGGAGAAUACGGCCUCUGACACUGCCUGAGCGCGGAGCUGAAGGACGCGGUGGGAGAAGGGGAGACACAGCCAUCUUGGAGGCUUCUUCAGCCCUCGUGUGCCAUAGCCACCUCGGAGCUCUCCUCCACAAAUUCAACUAAUCCGUUUUUAAACAGUUAUCAUGUUUCAUUUAUACACACAGCAAAGUACUCCUCGUUUAUCCCGGUUGUUUGAAAGUGCUCUUAUUCUCUUGGAUUAAAGGGGGCUCACGGAGGUUUAUGCAUAUACUUGUUACACUUCUGAGCACCUAACAUUUCACAGAAGGGAGAUUCUUUGUCUUCAAGUUAUCGAGCAUGUAAAACCUCAGCAGCUGAAAAGGGGAACUGAUUUUGAUUCUGUUUGCUCAAAAGUGGGGGGUUUGGUAGUUCUUGCUUGCUUUUCUGGGGCACGCUUGCAGGAGUGCUGUGAACUGUCACCUCUUUACUUCUUCCCGCCCCCCCCACGCACCCUGCUUAGCACUUUAAUCUAACCCCAGGGAAAACAGAACAAAACACAAGUUCAGCUGAAUGUCUGUGACCACAAGAGCUUCCUGUAGGUGCCCGAAGUUUCUGCUGCAAAAGCCUCGUUGGUGUCAUUAGGGCUCAGGGAGCCUCACGGCUUUGGGGGUGAGCCCAAGGGCCGGGUAGUAGUUUAGCUGCACCAUCCCAGGAGUAGCAGGAGAGGUGCUGUGCCUCAAAAGCCACGACUGCACAUCAAGUAGGUUUGUUGUUCAGGAAUGAGAGAAGAAAAUAAUGUAGGAGUCAUCUCCCACCUUCACUAGCCAGAAAAAAAAAAUCUGGCUGACAUCACGGUCCCUCUCUUUUGGGCCCUGCCAAGGUAACCGGAGCAGCAGGGGCGGCAGUUGUCCUCAUGCCAUGAAGACACACUUUUCCCUUGAUUCUUUGAACUGUUGUUAAGAUCAUCAGGAAAUGCUUUCCUCUCGGUCAGCACCCGUGCCCCUCGCGUGGGAGUGAGGGCACACCGAGCACAGACCUGGUCUGUGCAGAGCCCCAAUCACUCCCAACCUGGGUCACGGGAGAUUUUUCUCUCUCCCUGUUUCACCAGGAGCCCGGGUGCUGCGAGGAGGGCUCUGCUCUCUCCUGGCUGCCAGGCACGGCCGGAGCCCAACCCUCACAUACCCUCCGACGCUGUGGGACCCCUGGGGACUGAGCCCAGGCGUGACCCCGCACCGAGCUGUGCCUCGGGGCACCCGCUCCAGACCCACACACUCCCACAGCCAGAGCCCCAUCUCCCCCGUCACCCACAGCCCCAUCCAAGGCUCUGGCAACCCCCCAGCUCCCCUCACCGCCCCCCACGUUUUUCAGCCUGGAGGUGAAAACCCAAGAGGUGCAAACUGCAGUGUCGGCGGGACUGUGGGAGCCUGAAAACUUCUGCUCGUGAUUUACAGCAUUUCCCACCCAGGUUUGAAAGGUGGUUGGGCUCCUCUCGAAGGAAGGGGGAAAUCACAGCGGGUCUGUCGUCCCCGGAGGAUGCUGCGUUCACAGAGCCACCGCUCUCCCACGCUCCGGAACAGCCGGGAGCAGGGCUGGGGGUUGCCUCUACGGCUCAAGGGAAGCAAGAUCAAAAGCUUCACCUGAAGUUAAAGGUGUUUCUGCAGGUCGCUAAACUACUGAUUUCUGCCCAUCGCCAGAGUCAAGAUUAAAAAUGCCAUUACAGCGACUUGCUGCAGGUACGAGGGGCCGAUGUGAACGGGACCGCGUUGAAGGGCCGAGCCGGAGCGCAGCGGGUGCAAAUACGGUACAAGCUGUGCGGCCGCUGGCCCGUCCCCGCAGAUUUCCCCUCUGCGCCGCUCUCGAACCGCAUCUGUGCAAACAGGAUGAGCUAGAAAAGUGUAAAUAAAGCAUUAAAGAGAA